UUGCUCUAGGCUAGGGAUGAAUGUGUCCCUCACAUAUAAUGCUUCCUUCCGAUUCACCUUGUCAGCUUUGUUUUUUUUUAAUGUUUUGCUGAUCAUUGUAGGAUGGAAUAUCU
rnacentral:snoRNA from 1 species